rnacentral:rRNA from 1 species
GUGAGGAAUAUUGGACAAUGGGCGCAAGCCUGAUCCAGCCAUGCCGCGUGCAGGAAGACGCAUCUAUGGUGUGUAAACUGCUUUUGUACGGGAAGAAACACUCCCUCGUGAGGGAGCUUGACGGUACCGUAAGAAUAAGGAUCGGCUAACUCCGUGCCAGCAGCCGCGGUAAUACGGAGGAUCCAAGCGUUAUCCGGAAUCAUUGGGUUUAAAGGGUCCGUAGGCGGUUUAAUAAGUCAGUGGUGAAAGCCCAUCGCUCAACGAUGGAACGGCCAUUGAUACUGUUAGACAUGAAUUACAAGGAAGUAACUAGAAUAUGUAGUGUAGCGGUGAAAUGCUUAGAUAUUACAUGGAAUACCAAUUGCGAAGGCAGGUUACUACUUGUGGAUUGACGCUGAUGGACGAAAGCGUGGGGAGCGAACAGGAUUAGAUACCCGAGUAGUCC